GAUGAACGCUGGCGGCGUGCCUAAUACAUGCAAGUCGAGCGAACGGACGAGAAGCUUGCUUUUCUGAUGUUAGCGGCGGACGGGUGAGUAACACGUGGAUAACCCACCUAUAAGACUGGGAUAACUUCGGGAAACCGGAGCUAAUACCGGAGAAUAUUUUGAACCGCAUGGUUCAAAAGUGAAAGACGGUCUUGCUGUCACUUAUAGAUGGAUCCGCGCUUCAUUAUCGAGUUGGUAAGGUAACGGCUUACCAAGGCAACGAUGCAUAACCGACCGGAGAGGGGGAACGGCCACUGUGGAGCUGAGCGACCGCACAGGCUCCGACGGGAGGCAGCAGUAGGGACGGUUCCGAGAAGUGCGAAAGCCUGAAGGAUGGGCGGAGCGUGAGUGAUGCAGGGCCGCGUGUCGUAAAACGCUGUUAUUGGGGAAGACCACAUGUGUAAGUAACGGUGCACAUCUGGAGGGUACCGAUACAGAAAGCCCCGGCUACCUCCGG
rnacentral:rRNA from 1 species